AUGAACCUUCCAGGAUCGCUUUAUGUUCCCAGACAUGAGUUGCUGGUUUAUUAUCCUAAACACAUCUAUGACCAAGAACGUGUUCUUCACUGUUAUGAUUGCUUUCCUUGCCCCCUGAACCAGAAGAAGAGGAGAAGACAGAGAAGCAAUGCUGGUGCAGUCUCAUCACUGGGAGUGGUUCCCAGAAGAGCAUCGCCUGCUCUGGUCUCUUUGCUGUGGUCUCUAACAGCAUAGUGAGCAAUGUGAACAAAGCACAUCAAGCUGCCAGAACGGAGGAGCACUCAAGCUGGUGUUGGGAGUGUGUAGGUGCAUGCAUAAAACAUGCACACAGGCUCUGAAGCAUAUACUGAAGGCUGAAGAAUGGAUUUCUACAAUUUUAAAAUGAGUUUUCUUUCUCCUCUCCUCUCCUCUCCUC
rnacentral:lncRNA from 1 species